CACUUCUUUCCCGAAAUAUGAGUUGGAAUUGAUAAGGAUAUGACUGUCUUUUAAUGAAGGAAAUUACCUUCUUUCCUCUGAUAAAGUGGAGAAAAGAAGUCUUUGGGCUGCAUGGAGCUGAGGGAAGGGAACUGCUUCGUAAAUGGACUUUCAAACAAUCCUCCUGUUUUCAGUUCUGUCUCCACUUGUAAAGGCACCUGGCUCAUCAAUUUCUAAAUAUUUUGUGGAUUCUACAUGCAGAUCAAAUUGCCUCUUGGCUCUCC